rnacentral:lncRNA from 1 species
CUUCUCGAUAACUCGUAUGCAUGCAUUUUGUUUGAUAGUGGAGCGGAAAGGAGUUUUGUGAGUCACGACUUUAAAGGCAUGCUAAAACCAAUACCACAAUCAUUAAGUGAACCAUUCAUAGUAGAAAUGGCCAACGGGAAAACCGAAGGCACUAAGGAGAUAUAUUUAAACUGCACCCUAACUCUAAACGAUAAUCUCUUUCAAAUCAACCUCAUGCCAGUCUCGAUUAAGAGUUUCGAUGUCAUCAUUGGCAUGGAUUGGCUGAGUUCACAUCGUGCGGACAUUCUAUGUUACGAUAAGGCCGUUCGCCUUAAUCUGCCAACCGGCGAAACCUUCCUUGUCUUGGGCGACAAACCUAGUACCACUCUUAGUAUCAUCUCAAGUAUCCAAGCUCAGAAGCACUUACGAAAGGAGUGUCACGCAUUUCUUGCACAUGUUGUAGACGUGAAACGCGAAGUCCGGGACAUCAAGGAUGUGCCCGACGUAUGCGAUUUUCCCGAUGUAUUUCCCGAGGACCUUCCAGGGAUACCACCCGUAAGACAAGUCGAAUUCAGAAUCGAUCUGAUUCCCGGAGCUACCCCAGUAGCCAAAGCACCCUAUCGAUUAGCCCCGGCAGAGAUGCAGGAGCUAUCCAGUCAACUGAAUGAACUACUGGGAAAAGGAUUCAUCAGACCGAGCUUCUCACCAUGGGGAGCACCCGUGUUGUUUGUGAAAAAGAAAGAUGGAUCGUUCAGAAUGUGCAUCGACUACAGAGAACUCAACAAACUGACGGUCAAGAAUCGUUAUCCUCUACCGCGCAUAGAUGAUCUAUUCGACCAACUGCAAGGGGCGAACUAUUUUUCUAAGAUUGAUCUGAGGUCCGGGUAUCACCAGUUACGAGUGCUAGAGGAGGAUGUGCCGAAGACCGCCUUCCGAACUCGUUACGGACAUUACGAGUUCGUGGUGAUGCCAUUCGGAUUGACCAAUGCGCCCGCAGUCUUCAUGGAUCUGAUGAAUAGAGUAUGCCGACCUUACUUGGAUCAGUUCGUCAUCGUUUUCAUUGACGACAUCCUGAUCUACUCCCGAAGUAAGAAAGAGCAUGGCGAUCAUCUGCGACAAGUUCUAGGGAUAUUACGAAAAGAGAAACUUUAUGCGAAGUUCUCGAAAUGUGAAUUUUGGAUCCGAAGAGUCGAAUUCUUAGGACACGUGGUAAGCGAAGAGGGAAUCCACGUGGACCCAUCCAAAAUUAAGGCCAUUGAGAACUGGUCAGCACCGAAGACUCCUACAGAAAUUCGUCAAUUUCUAGGUCUCGCUGGCUACUACCGCAGGUUCAUUCAGAACUUCUCACGAAUAGCGAAGCCUCUUACAACCCUAACCCAGAAAGGUGUGGCCUUUGACUGGGAAGAGAAACAAGAAAGAGCGUUCCAAACGCUCAAACGAGCCUUGUGCACCGCACCAAUACUAUCCCUUCCCGAAGGAAUAGAAGACUUCGUAGUUUAUUGCGAUGCAUCAAACCAAGGACUCGGAUGUGUUCUGAUGCAGCGAGGUAAGGUCAUCGCCUACGCCUCGAGACAGUUGAAAACACAUGAGGUUAACUACACGACCCACGAUCUUGAGCUAGGAGCAGUAGUGUUUGCCCUGAAGAUCUGGAGACAUUACUUGUAUGGAACGAAGAGCACUAUCUUUACCGACCACAAGAGCUUACAACACAUUUUCGAUCAGAAGGAGCUCAACAUGAGACAACGGCGAUGGGUCGAGCUACUCAGUGAUUACGAAUGCGAUAUUCGCUAUCAUCCGGGAAAGGCAAACGUCGUAGCCGAUGCCCUUAGUCGAAAGGAGUACUCAGGCCGGAGAGUGAAGUCAUUAGCUAUGUCGAUCCAUUCGCACCUAUCAACGCAAGUCAAGGAAGCUCAAUUAGAGGCCUUGAAACCCGAAAACGUGGCAGGUGAGGCCCUUAGGGGAAUGGACAAGAACUUAGAAAUCAAGAGUGACGGAGCACGCUACCUCAUGAACCGGAUCUGGACACCAAAGUUUGGGGGAUUCAGAGAGGUAGUUAUGAGCGAGGCACACAGGACCCCAUACUCCGUACACCCAGGGUCAGACAAGAUGUAUCUAGAUCUCAAGCAACUCUACUGGUGGCCAAACAUGAAAGCGGAGAUCGCUACGUAUGUGGGCAAGUGUUUAACUUGCGCCAAAAUAAAAAUAGAACACCAAAAACCCUCAGGCCUACUCCAACAACCUGAAAUACCUGAGUGGAAAUGGGAGCAGAUUUCCAUGGACUUCAUAACCAAACUGCCCAAAACUCAGAGUGGCCAAGAUACUAUUUGGGUAAUCGUCGACAGAUUAACCAAGUCAGCCCAUUUCUUACCUAUCAAGGAAACCGAUAGGAUGGAAAAACUAUCAAGAACCUACAUCCGGGAGAUCGUACGACUUCAUGGAGUACCAAUGUCCAUCAUCUCAGAUAGAGACAGCAGGUUCACUUCCAGAUUUUGGCAAUCACUGCAAAAAUCCAUGGGAACAAGGUUGGACAUGAGUACAGCAUACCACCCUCAAACUGACGGACAGAGUGAGAGGACGAUCCAAACCUUGGAAGACAUGUUGCGAGCAUGUGUAAUCGACUUUGGCAAGGCAUGGGAUAUUCACUUGCCUUUGGUCGAGUUCUCUUAUAACAAUAGUUAUCAUACUAGUAUCAAGACCGCUCCGUUCGAAGCCCUUUACGGCCGUAAGUGCAGAUCACCCCUGUGCUGGACGGAAGUGGGCGACACCCAAUUGGCAAAAGGUCUAGUCACUAAAAGCACCCUUACUGGUCCAGAGAUCAUCAGAGAAACUACCGAAAAGAUCGUGCAAAUACGAGAACGACUGAAGUCCUCAAGGGAUAGGCAAAAGAGCUAUGCCGACAGGAGACGUAAACCCUUGGAAUUCCAGAUUGGCGACCGUGUGCUACUGAAGGUCUCACCCUGGAAAGGCGUGAUACGCUUUGGGAAGCGUGGAAAGCUAAAUCCCAGGUACAUUGGACCCUUCGAAAUCAUUUCGAGAGUUGGUCCAGUGGCCUACAAACUCCAACUUCCAAUCGAGCUUAACAAAGUGCAUCCAGUAUUCCACGUGUCGAACCUGAAAAAGUGUUUGUCCGACGAAACACUUGUAAUUCCACUCGAUGAAAUCGCGUUAAACGAAAAUCUCAACUUUGUGGAAGAACCCGUCGAGAUCAUGGAUAGGGAAGUUAAAAGGACCAAGCAGAGUCGCAUUCCAAUAGUAAAAGUUCGAUGGAAUGCUAAGAGAGGACCCGAAUUCACAUGGGAACGGGAAGACCAAAUGCUACAGAAGUAUCCGCAUCUCUUCCUCAGCCCCUAAAACUCUUACCUUGUAUUAAAUUUCGGGACGAAAUUCCGUUUAACGGGGGGAUGAUGUAACAACCCGUUAUCCCGGGCAUUAUAAACCGAGUCUUGUAACCCCUUUUGAAUGUAAUGGGAAUAUCAUCGAUAAAUGAAUUGUUCAAAAGCUCUGAUUUGGAGUACGCUAUGUAGUAGAUAUCGUCUUAAAGGUUCCAAAUAAAUAAAGAAACACUAAAAUCUGAGUUAUGGCGAAGAAGCUAUGACCAUUCUAAGAUUUCUGUCAAAACCGACAACACCGAUCAAACGAAAAACGCAAAGUUUCAAUACGAUAACAUUUAGCCUUAGGUAUCUAAAUGAAAGUCAUAGAUAACAUUAAACCGUGAGCGUACACAAAAAGAACGUCCAAAUCUGACUUCGCAUGAGGAAGUUAUGAUUUUUCAAAGAAAUUCCUUAAAAACGAUUAGUUAUAAAAUAAAUAAUAAAAAUAAUUUUGGAAUUUGCCAACGGAGUCUAAACGAAAGUUGUAGAUCGUAGUCUCACCUACGCGUGGAUAUAAAGACCAUCGAAAACGGAGUUCGUAUGAAGAAGAUAUGGAUUUUUGAAGUUUAUUAAAUAAAUUAAUUAUUUAUUUAAUUCAAAAUUCGGAUAUUAUCCGAAGAGGAGUCAGCGUCCUUCUCCGAAGUACGCGCUGCGUACUCCUGUACGCCCCGCGUAACCGAGAGGAUUGGCCUCGGAUCGUCCACGUCGCCAUAUCCGAGGAAGCCGACCCGUCCGACCCGUCCGACCCGACGUCCCAUCCGACCCGGCGUCCCAUCCGACCCACCUCCCCAGCAACCCGUCCCAUCCGACCCGAGAACCCAAGAACCCGUCCCAUCCGAACCGAGGCAGUCGAGGCUUCGGUCAUGCAUGACGUACGCGUACGCAGCGCGUACGAGCGUACGCCCCGCGUACCGAGGCAGACCUGCCUUCCUAUAAAUAGAAUGCGAGGGUUUCCAAAGAAAGGGUUCAUUUCUCUUCUCUCUCUCUCAGCAUUUCCUCGUUUUCCGUGUCCGUUCAAACCCGAAGCUCUGGUCUUUUUGGCUCAAGUCCCGAAGGCCGAUUCUACUCCCGAGAUUCCCGAGAAUCCCAAGAAAAAUCAGUUUCCCGAGACGAAACUCUGCUCGGUUUUCCACCUCACAAUCUUCAAACUAUCAAGUGAGUUCAUAUCCCCUUUGAACACUCUUUAAAUACAUUUUAAAUGUUUUAUACUCUUUUUGGGGAGGAAUACAAGUUAACACAUGACUAAAUUCGUGUGAAACAUUAACCUUUUGAUAUACUUUUCAUACUGUUGUUUUAACUAUCUUGUGAAGUUAUUAUGAUACAAAACCCCUCACAACACAGCUUUACCCUCUUUGGGAUAUAAUAUGUUUAUAAAUAGAAAUAUGUUUUAUUUAUACGUUUACAUACAAACACAUCAUAUCAAGGGUAACAUUCUUUACUAAGUCAUUUCAUGCAUUCAAAGAACUUAUGAUUAUGCUUUGUCAAACAUUGUGAAAGAGGUUAAACUUUGCAUACAAACUACUACCUUAUUACGGACUUAGUUGAGAAUCCAUGAGUCGUGUAUAUCUUCAAACGUUACUUUCUUUAUUAGAAAAUAAUGCUACAAGUCCUGUCUAUAACCAGAGUCUCCCGUUCGGAGAACGUGUCAAAUGUGUAUAGAUCUAUACGGGAAGUCAUGAUCCCGCGCCCUGACUGUUAGCUACAGUCCGUCUUUUGGGGUGACAGUUGUCAUAACGCUACGACGCCUGAAGAACGUCGCUACAGGCAUAUUAUGUUUAGUAUGGUUAUAAAACUCAUCGGAUACACAACUAUUAUAGUACUUCUGAUUGAUGAACGAGUAGCUAUUAAAACUAUUCUUUAUCUAACAAACUUAAAUCUUCUGAUAGGUUUAUUAUAUAAAUCUAUGUUUAAAAUCUUCUAAAGCAUGUGGAUUGCUUCCAAUUUUUAGUCUUGGACAUUAAACAAACUAUUACUUUAGGAAAAUAUGGGAUUUUCCUGUAUACAAACCAAACAACUAUUAGGAAAAUAAGGGAUUUUCUUGGUUCAACUAGCUACAUUUUUCAACACAAAUACUCUCAUGCAUUUCAUACUUUUAUAAGAAAAUAAGGGAUUUUCUUGGAAAAUAUACACUCAUUUUGGAAUGGCAUUCAAUGUUUCUAAAUCACUUAUGAACUCACCAACUUAAUUGUUGACACAUUUUCUUUGAAAUAACUUGUAUUCUCAAGGAACCGUUAAGCAGGUUUGGAAAUCAACUUUUGGGGAUUAACGCGUUGGCGUUAAUUAUUUCUUUUGAAAGAUGUUUAUGAAUUUAUCUUUUGAGCAUGUAAUGAAUACAAUGAUGUAAACAUUUUUAAAACCUUUAUAUAUGUAUCGUGGUGUGUACUUUCCUUUCUAUGAACUGUUAUGAUACUGAAUAUGACGUCCUCCGCCCCCGAACAUUUCCGCCGUUCUGGUUUGGGGGUGUGACAUUAAGGGUUAGAUCUAUGAUUUGGCUAAGCAGAUCUGACCUUAGGAGGUUGUUUGAGCAAGUCCAUGGAGGAAACUCGCCGAGUCCAUAUGUUGACUCGACAAGUCGAACCAGGUUGCCACGCGGUCUGACUCCAGUGGUGACCCGAUGAGUUGAGGGGUGACUCAGUAAGUCGAGUGAGGCUUAGAAAGGGAAGGGUUGUAGGGACGAUGGGACUCGCCGAGUCGUCGUAUGCACUCGGCGAGUCUGGUCAAAAUGGACAGUUGAUUUUUGGUUGACUUUUAGGGUUUGUCAACAAAUGGGCCUUUGGGCCUGUAGAGGGGUAGAAUGGUCUUUUACCCUUCUAGGGAUUUGCAUGAGAGAAUAUCUAAUUUGUGAAGAGACAUUUAUUUAGUGUAAUUUAUUAUUGUGACUAGGCGGAGGCUAGGGCAGUAUUCUGAUAUCGAGGUUUUACCGAGAUUCCCGAGGUGAGUCUUCUCACUAGACUUUACCUAGAGUGAUAACUAGAGCUAUGUGAGAGUGUGUCAUGUAUGCUAUUUAUGUGUUGUGAUUUCUAUGUGAUAUGUGAUAUGCAUGAUUCAGAGUUUACAGAGUUAGGACCAGUGGGUCCACAGAGUUAUGGGGCCAAGAGGGUCCCACGGAGAUAUUCGACCAGAGGGUCAUCAGAGUUGCAGCCUAGAGUGGCUGAUAUGUGUUUAUGUGGUAUUUUGGGGAACUCAAUAAGCAUUUAUGCUUACAGAGUUUUGUGUAUGUGUUUCAGGUACCAGUGAUAAUCGCGGAAGGCGCCGGCAUGAUCUAUACACACUCAUGGAGCUUUUGUUUCUAUGAUUCUAGGAUAUGUUUUACUAUGAUGACAGUGGAUACAUUAUGUUUAAUAUUAUUUUAUGAAUGAAAGUAUGUUUUAAAAUUGUGAAAUUUUUUUGGGUGUUACACGGAUAUAGUCAUCACAUUAAUUGUUGUUGUGUUCUAGAUUAGCAUGUUUAAGCCAUGAAUAAUGUUAUUAUUCUAAAAGUUCAUAGUCGGUUAUAAUUGUGGGAGAAAUUAUGAAGUAAGACUAAUAUGAAUUGGAUUGGUUGACUCUCACUAGAUGAAAGUAGGCAAGUGGUUGUAACCAAGUUUCAUAGGUACUUUUCAGAGAACUAGUAUUGAAUUCACUCACAUCAAGAUCAUCUCAUGGAUCGCAAUCGUGAAUGAUACUUGAUUAAAAGGUACUGUCUUUGUAUCCUUAACUCAUGAGAUACAUAGUGGGACUUAAGUGUAGUGUCACACUCCCAAACUGAAACGGCGGAAACGUUUGGGGAUGGAGGACGUCAUGUAUAGUAUCACAACAAUUGAAUAACAGUAAUCAAACCAACAACAACCAUUGUAUUAAUACUAUAGUGUUUACAUUACAUUUGAAUCAUACACGAUUGACUCCAAAAGUAAAUACAAGUAAAGACUCAAAGCUACUAUGCUCCGUCUUCUUGAAUCCGUGUGUGUACCUGUCUACUAAUGUCUUGAGAAUACAAGUAGGUUUUGAAAGAGUAUCAGCAUAAAGCUGGUGAGUUCAUAAGCAUUUUGUAUUGGAAAAACUGUUCUUUGUUCUUUUGAAAAGUGCGUUAUGUUUCUCCAGAAAACCUUAUAUUUUUUGAUGUAAUUAAUGUAUAAGCCUUAAGGAAAAAUGUUUCUUACCAGUUCCUCCUGCGGGUAUUUAGUGUACACAAAUCAUAUACAAUCCAGAUCGAUUGUGUGGUUUUGCCCCAAGCCCACAACCAAACAAGGAACAGGAAAUGAGGCGGAGGCCACACAUUCCACUGACUGUCGCAUCCUCUUGUACAUUAUCCUGAAGUAUUCACUAGAUACUUACAGAGUUAACUGUAUUGGUCCUUUGAUAUCUGUUGAAAGUGUUCCUCAAGAAAAUCCAAUAUUUUCUUAUGAAAAGCAUAAUUAACCCAUUCCUUCUAUGACUACUUAGUUCAUACUAGUUACGUAUAAACCAAUAUCGGAUAGACAGUUAAUUGUGUGGAUCUACCCUAAACCCACAGCCAAACAAGGAACAGGGAAUGAGGCGGAAACCACACAUUCAACGGUCUAUCAGAUAUUCCCAUACGUAACCCAGAUGCACAAACUAAGGAGUCAUGGAAUUAAUAAUGAAUGUUUGUUAGUUGAAUAAUGAACCAUCCGUUUGUAAAGUAUUGAUGUUUAUCCUGGAAAAUCCUAUAUUUUCCCUAAGUGUAAGUUGUUGAAUUAUCUGUUCCAAAAUCAUAAAGUACAAGUAUCUACCAUACUUAUGUUCUUUAAGGAUUGUUCUAUAUGAAAAACAUUAUAUGAAAACCCUUGUAUGAAAACCUAUGUACGAAAACCCUGGCUACCACUAGUAAUGUAUAGUAGUCGUAUUACAUAAAUAAAACUAACUGAAAACAUCUUGUCCUGUAAACUGAAUGUGUUAUUAGUACCCUCCUAUGACCACCUAGUACAUACGAGUUAUAGAAAUCUAGAUCGAACAAACAGUCGAUUGGGUGAUUCUGCCCUGAGCCCACAACCAAACAAGGAACAGGAAAUGAGGCGGAGAUCACACAUCCCACUGCAUGUUGUUCUGAUCUGUGAAGGGUGUGUAGGUUUAGCUUGCUCAACUAUGUCCACCCAAUUGGUAGGAUGUGCAUUCGUAGAUCCGAGUAGCUUUUGUCCUGAAGUUCAUGGUAGGACUCAUACCUAGUCCAUCUAUCAUUGUCUCAAGUACACAUGUCGUAUAUAAUUAAGAUUGAUAAGACGGUCGCAUGGGUGACUUUGCCCCUGGUCCACAACCGGACAAGGAACAGUAGAUAGGGCGGAAACACACAUCCUAAGUCCAUAGAAUCUUAAUUAUAUACCACCCUCGCGUGUACAUUUAACAUCGAUAGGCUAACUGUAUAUGUCCCUAGACUCUGUGCUUGAACUUGACUUGUUGCGCGAGUGGUGUUUCCAAAAUGGUCUGCUGAGGGUGCUUAAGGAAGGUUACGGGUGGAUACCAUACUCCUUGCAUGAGUAUUUUGGAGGUUUGAAGCGAGAUGAAAUUUCGAGUUUCGCAUCUAGUUUGUCGUUAUGAGUGGCGAGAGUUUUGUUAUUCGGUCGGUUUAAGGCAAAGGGUCUCCUCGGUGACACGUGGGUUUGGUAUAACGUAGACUCAUUCAGACUAAGCGGGAUGACAACGUAGGAUCACGUGUUAAGUUAGUUUGUAAGGAGCGUUUCGUUAUGGCGUCAGUGUAUCUUUGUGUGUACAUUUCUAGCGCUUUCUGUAUUGACCUUGUUAUCACUUAUGCGAAUGUUUUGUACUGUAUUAAGUGUACUAACUGAGAAAUUGUUCUAGUGAAUGAUACUUGAUAUUAUGAUCUGUGACAACCCGAAAUUUCCAUUUGGUCAAACCCUAAAAGUCAACCACUUCGUAUCAUAAGUUAAUGUUAUUAUUUCUUAUUUUUUUGAAAUAUAAAGUUCGUUUGAUUAUUUUAAUAUUAUUUUUAAACGAACGAGUGAAAGAAAGUGUCGUCUCGGGUUUUAAAUUUCAAAAACCGCAAACACCUCGCGUCUUAGAAAUUCCCGACCAAACUUUUAUGUUUGUGUUGAAAAUUCACCCAAAAACCGUAAACUCAUACCUAUGUAUGAGUUUACUCCCCAAAAGUCUAGUUAAUUGUGUUUACUCCCCAAGUUCACAAAAGAGUAAACUCCAAGAACUCUUUCAAGUAUCAUCCUAGUUUUUAUUCCAAACCUUCAAUCUUGUAAGUGUUCUAACCAUUUUAAGUUACUAAAACACUUAAUCUAGUGUUUAUACAUCUAAUCAUCCACUCAUAUGUGUAUUUUCGAUUAAAAGCUUCGACAUUAUCAUCGGCAUGGAUUGGUUAAGCCUUCAUCGCGCCGACAUCAUGUGCUACGAGAAAGCAGUCCGUCUAAACCUCCCGUCUAACGAAACUCUUAUCAUCUAUGACGACAAACCCGGUGCGAGUCUUCGUAUUAUAUCAAGUAUUCCAGCACGGAAGUAUUUACGUAAAGAAUACCAUGCAUUCCUUGCUCACGUCAUCGAUACGAGCCUCGCAACGAAAGAACUAAAGAACAUUCCAGUAGUGAGCGAAUUUCCCGACAUCUUCCCAGAAGAGCUACCAGGAUUACCUCCGCAACGACAGGUCGAGUUCAUAAUCGACUUAGUCCCAGGAGCUANAGUCCCAGGAGCUACCCCAGUAGCCAAGUCGCCCUACCGUUUAGCACCAGCCGAGAUGCAAGAACUCUCUGGUCAACUUAACGAACUGCUCAGCAAGGGCUUUAUAAGACCAAGUUUCUCGCCUUGGGGAGCACCGAUCUUGUUCGUUAAGAAGAAAGACGGAUCAUUCCGUAUGUGUAUCGACUACAGAGAACUCAACAAACUAACAGUCAAAAAUCGUUAUCCUCUGCCUCGCAUAGAAGAUCAAUUUGACCAACUGCAAGGGGCGAACUACUUUUCCAAAAUUGAUCUAAGAUCCGGAUAUCACCAGUUACGAGUGCUAGAGGGGGAUGUUCUGAAGAUAGCCUUCCGAACUCGUUACGAACACUACAAGUUCGUGGUGAUGCCAUUCGGAUUGACCAAUGCGCCCGCAGUCUUCAUGGAUCUGAUGAAUAGAGUAUGCCGACCUUACUUGGAUCAGUUCGUCAUCGUUUUCAUUGACGACAUCCUNNNNNNNNNNNNNNNNNCGAAGUAAGGAAGAGCAUGGCGAUCACCUGCGACAAGUUCUAGGAACCUUACGAACGGAGAAGCUCUAUGCGAAGUUCUCUAAAUGUGAAUUUUGGAUCCGAAGAGUCGAAUUCUUAGGACACGUGGUAAGCGAAGAGGGAAUCCACGUGGACCCAUCCAAAAUUAAGGCCAUUGAGAACUGGUCAGCACCGAA